rnacentral:rRNA from 1 species
GAUGAACGCUAGCGAUAGGCCUAACACAUGCAAGUCGAGGGGCAUCACAUGAAGUAGCAAUACGGAUGGUGGCGACCGGCGCACGGGUGAGUAACACGUAUGCAACCUGCCUUCAACAAGGGGAUAACCCGUUGAAAGACGGACUAAUACCCUAUAACACAGGGGUCCCGCAUGGGAAUAUUUGUUAAAGGACAACCGGUUGAAGAUGGGCAUGCGUUCCAUUAGCUAGUUGGCGGGGUAACGGCCCACCAAGGCAACGAUGGAUAGGGGAACUGAGAGGUUUAUCCCCCACACUGGUACUGAGACACGGACCAGACUCCUACGGGAGGCAGCAGUGAGGAAUAUUGGUCAAUGGACGCAAGUCUGAACCAGCCACGUCGCGUGAAGGAAGACGGCCCUACGGGUUGUAAACUUCUUUUAUACGGGAAUAAAGUGCCCCACGCGUGGGGUUUUGCAUGUACCGUAUGAAUAAGGAUCGGCUAACUUCCGGCCAGCAGCCGCGGU